CCUACGGGAGGCAGCAGUGGGGAAUAUUGCACAAUGGGGGAAACCCUGAUGCAGCGACGCCGCGUGAGUGAAGAAGUAUCUCGGUACGUAAAGCUCUAUCAGCAGGGGAGAAAAUGACGGUACCUGACUAAGAAGCCCCGGCUAACUACGUGCCAGCAGCCGCGGUAAUACGUAGGGGGCAAGCGUUAUCCGGAUUUACUGGGUGUAAAGGGAGCGUAGACGGCAGCACAAGUCUGGAGUGAAAUCCCGGGGCUUAACCCCGGAACUGCGUUGGAAACUGUGCGGCUGGAGUGCAGGAGGGGUAAGCGGAAUUCGUAGUGUAGCGGUGAAAUGCGUAGAUAUUAGGAGGAACACCGGUGGCGAAGGCGGCUUACUGGACUGCAACUGACGUUGAGGCUCGAAAACGUGGGGAGCAAACAGGAUUAGAUACCCGUGUAGUC
rnacentral:rRNA from 1 species